GACGAACGCUGGCGGCGUGCCUAAUACAUGCAAGUUGAGCGCCGAAGGUUGGUACUUGUACCAACUGGAUGAGCAGCGAACGGGUGAGUAACGCGUGGGGAAUCUGCCUUUGAGCGGGGGACAACAUUUGGAAACGAAUGCUAAUACCGCAUAAAAACUUUAAACACAAGUUUUAAGAUUGAAAGAUGCAAUUGCAUCACUCAAAGAUGAUCCCGUGUUGUAUUAGCUAGUUGGUGAGGUAAAGGCUCACCAAGGCGAUGAUACAUAGCCGAACUGAGAGGGUGAGCGAGCACAUCGAGACUGGGACACGGCCCAGACCCCGACGGGAGGCAGCAGUAGGGAAUCGUAGGAAUUGGACGAAAGUCUGACCGAGAAACGCCGAGUGAGUGAAGAAGAUGUUCGGAUCGUAAAACGCAGUUGGUAGAGGAGAACGGUGGUGAGAGUGGAAAGCUCAUCAAGUGACGGUAACUAACGAGAAAGCGACGGCUAACUACGUG
rnacentral:rRNA from 1 species